CAAACAUCAAAUUCGAUGACAGCACCGCAUGACUGACAUCCGUGCUAGUGGAACACUUAGAGCACCAUCCAAGCAUGAUCAUUGCCAGGGUCGCUGACUGGCCCUUGUGCUGGUGGCAUGUAAAAAGCACCAUUCGAGCAUGAUCGUUACCAGCAU